rnacentral:rRNA from 1 species
UACGAAGGGGGCGAGCGUUGUUCGGAUUUACUGGGCGUAAAGGGCGCGCAGGCGGCUUAUUUUGUCAGGCGUGAAAGCCCCGGGCUUAACCUGGGAACUGCGUUUGAUACGGAUGGGCUAGAGUUCGGGAGAGGAGAGUGGAAUUCCCAGUGUAGAGGUGAAAUUCGUAGAUAUUGGGAAGAACACCAGUGGCGAAGGCGGCUCACUGGCCCGGUACUGACGCUGAGGUGCGAAAGCGUGGGGAGCAAACAGG